AACUGGUUGGGAGUUGAUGCUGCUCUCCUAAUGAGGCCAGGGCAAGCCGAAACCAGUU
rnacentral:hammerhead_ribozyme from 15 species